GUGAGGAAUAUUGGGCAAUGGGCGCAAGCCUGACCCAACAACGCCGCGUGAAGGAAGACGGUCUUCGGAUUGUAAACUUCUUUUGUCAGGGACGAAUAAUGACGGUACCUGGCGAAUAAGCCACGGCUAACUACGUGCCAGCAGCCGCGGUAAUACGUAGGUGGCAAGCGUUGUCCGGAUUUACUGGGUGUAAAGGGCGAGUAGGCGGAUUUGCAAGUCAGGUGUGAAAGCCCGGGGCUUAACCCCGGGUCUGCAUUUGAAACUGCGGAUCUUGAGUAUCGGAGAGGCAGGCGGAAUUCCCGGUGUAGCGGUGGAAUGCGUAGAUAUCGGGAGGAACACCAGUGGCGAAGGCGGCCUGCUGGACGACAACUGACGCUGAGGAGCGAAAGCGUGGGGAGCAAACAGGAUUAGAAACCCCGGUAGUCC
rnacentral:rRNA from 1 species